CCUGUGUGACAAGCAAAUCACUAAAUUGCCACUGCUUCCACCAAUACCAAAUCACCAAAUUAUUUAGUGUUUCUAAAUCCAUUAUACUCCUUUAAUCACAUUCGUUAAUCAAAAACCUUCCACUAGUUACAUCAACAUCCAAGGGUUUAGAUCAGAAACAAAACUCAAAUUGUUGUUCUCACGUUGGAUUGACAUGGUUCUGAAAGUUGAAAGAACUUUAGGAUUUUAGAAGAGAAGAGUUGCAGAGAUUAGUGUGAGAGAAGAUGAAAAGAUCAAAGGGUUGUAAAAGGCUUUAGGGUUGUAAAUGGCGGUGAGAACGUACAUGCAUGGAUAGAUGAAAUGAUGAAGACUGCAAGCAUUAAAUGCUAAAUACACUUUCCCAUACUCUUUUCAAAUUUGAAACACCCAGGUAUUAUGAUAUUCUCAAUUGAUAUUUGAAAAAAGGAUAUAUAUAUUUUGUUAAAUGAAGAUAUAAAAUUGAUGAUGAAAAAAUAACAUAAGAAAGGCAUUGUUGGAUAGCCUAGAUGGUUGUCACGUCAGCUUUGUGAUGUCAAUGUUUACUCUCCUUUAUUAGAUAAGGGAGAUGUUUGCGAUGCGGGCUUAAAUGUUGAUAAUGGGCCUGGGCCAGCCUCUGUUGAUCAAUCCAAGAGAUAAUGUAAUAAUCAUGAAUUCCUGAUGAUUUCCAUUUGAUAUUUGAAAUCUCCUCUAGUAAAUUAAAAGUUUGUCAAA